rnacentral:lncRNA from 1 species
AAAGGAUGCUAGGUUAGACACAAGACAGUCACAGUGUCGAGUCUGCUGAAUAUAAGGUGAAAAAGCUGACAGAAAAGGUCACUGGGUUCACCAGAUUCCUUUCACAUUUGCUUAUGGCAUGAUCUCCAGAAUUACAGAGAAAUUCCCAGCCUCCUGCUGUGGGUUCCGGUCAGAUAGCAUGGGCCAAUGACCGCAGAAGAGCAAUGUUAACCAGAACUUAACCUGACCUGUCUUUGUGAAUAGAACUGAUCCCAUCUCACAUCACCGGGGCACAAGAAAGGUAAGUGCAGACACUAUUUCCAUGUCACUAAUGUGUGUCACGUAUUCUUGCACAGUUGCACAAGG